GUUAUUCAACUCAGUUCCUUCAAUAACAGCAUGGUCUAGCCAUUGGAGAUCCAACACUCAUCACCUACCCGCCUUCCCCUGCAUGUGCUUUUGUCUGGAGAAGUCAUUUAGUCAAAUGCCACUUCUUGGCUCUAGUCAUGCGUAGUUAUUAUGUCAUUGUGACGUACUAUGGGAUUAGUAUAUUGACAUUUGUGUACAGG
rnacentral:lncRNA from 1 species